rnacentral:rRNA from 1 species
AUUGAACGCUGGCGGCAUGCUUUACACAUGCAAGUCGAACGGUAACGGGCCGCAAGGUGCUGACGAGUGGCGAACGGGUGAGUAAUGCAUCGGAACGUGCCCAGUCGUGGGGGAUAACGCAGCGAAAGCUGCGCUAAUACCGCAUACGAUCUAUGGAUGAAAGCGGGGGACCGAAAGGCCUCGCGCGAUUGGAGCGGCCGAUGUCAGAUUAGGUAGUUGGUGGGGUAAAGGCUCACCAAGCCAACGAUCUGUAGCUGGUCUGAGAGGACGACCAGCCACACUGGGACUGAGACACGGCCCAGACUCCUACGGGAGGCAGCAGUGGGGAAUUUUGGACAAUGGGCGCAAGCCUGAUCCAGCAAUGCCGCGUGCAGGAAGAAGGCCUUCGGGUUGUAAACUGCUUUUGUACGGAACGAGACGGUCCGGGUUAAUACCCUGGGCUAAUGACGGUACCGUAAGAAUAAGCACCGGCUAACUACGUGCCAGCCGCCGCCGUAAAAC